GACGAACGCUGGCGGCGUGCUUAACACAUGCAAGUCGAACGGAAAGACCCGGCUUUUGUGGGGUGCUCGAGUGGCGAAAGGGGGGGUAACACGUGAGAAACCUGCCCUUUACUUUGGGAUAACUUCAGGAAACCGGGGCUAAUACCGGUUAGGAGCUCCUGCUCCGUGGUGUGGGUUGGAAAGUGUCGGCGGUUGGUGAUGUACUCGCGGCUUAUCAGCUUGUUUGUGGGGUAGUGGGUUACCAAGGCGCGGACGGAUAGCCGGCCUGAGAGGUUGACCGGCCACAUUGGGACUGAGCUACGGGCCAGACUCCUACGGGAGGCAGCAGUGGGGAAUAUUGCACAAUGGGCGGGAGCCUGAUGCAGCAACGCCGCGUGCGGGAUGACGGCCUUCGGGUGGUAAACCGCUUUCGCCUGUGACGAAGCGUGAGUGACGGUAAUGGGUAAAGAAGCACCGGCUAACUACGUG
rnacentral:rRNA from 1 species